CAAACAGUCUUGGCCCUAAAAGAACUUUUCUAUUGUAUCACCAUCAAGAUUGGUGGAGAGGACAUUACUAGGCUGAGAUACAAUGGAGUAUUGGAGAAGAGUGACUAAAGAAUGAUUGCCAUCUUAAGAUGUUUCUGUGGAAACUGAAAGUGCACCUCAGAAUCUCCUGAGAUAUUACUGAGGAUUCUGGGACAUACUGUUAGUUUGUACAGGCAGCUGGCAGUGCCCAAAGCAACAUGACUGUCCAGACUUGUACGAUACUUUCAGUGCCCUUAACAUGACAGCUCUGACCAGUUGAGGCAGACCUAAUUAUCCAAACUUGUUCUUCUGUACUUUUUACAGAUUUUGAAUCCAGCGCAAUGAAGCAAUCUGAAAAGGCAUAAAGAAAAAAGUAAUUUGCCGGAAACCACAUGAGUUUAAGUCCAUACUAACAAAACUGGGCAUAUUAUUUUGUAGAAAUGGAAUGUCUAGACUUUGGAAGUGUUCUAUUUUUGAUCAUCUUUAAAGCAAUCCAAUAGUCUGAAUGCUGUUAGCAGGUGCUUUGGGGAUCUCCAGAUUAGAUCAGGAAAAGAAGGCCCACACCAGCAUCACUAGUAAUUAUGACUGAUUCACCUCCUGAAAUAGAUGAGAAGAGAAUGAACAACAACUCCCAAGAGGAAUCACAGAAUGCCACUCCCAAACAAAGGAAGCAGAGCGUCUACACCCCUCCUGCCAUGAAAGAUUAGUUUCCUUUCCCCUCCUUCUCAGCCCUCCCAUGUGAUCGGAUCCAGAGUAAAAUCCAGGCAAUCCGGGCAGCGCAUUUGAAAUCCUUGUAAAUCUGGCUGGAAUUUAGCAGCCUGGUGGAGGAGCCAAAAUCCAGGGGCUACCCAAAAUUCCAGGAGAGGACGUGGCAAGGCUACUCAUGUGUUGCAUAUAGGGUAACAUCUCAGCUGGGCUCCUACUCAUCACAAAAUGGUUGUGUGAACAAGCAUGUCAACAAGUAUGCUAUUUAAAUGUUAAAUAGCCAACUUCAAAACUUUAAUUGUUACACUGAAUCUUGUGACUUGGAUUUGUAUCAAAGUUUUGAGCUUCUGUUAAGUCCCAAAAGCAUUAAAGAAGCUUGUGGCAUGUUGCUGAAUACUUACUUGCUUUCAAAUGUCUUGUACUUUGUUUGGAUGGAUUAAACCAGAUGUCAAGUUUUCAUUUGCCCAUUGGAGACUUCAUGAUGUGACUGUGGAAAUGUCAGAAAGUUGCCUCAUUUGCACAGAUAAUUUAUCCUGAAUCUGCAAAUAAGCUCUGAGGCAGUGAUUUAAUCUAAAAUGCAUUACCAGUUCAAAGCGUAUUAGUGCAUGCUUACUGAAAAUGGCUUGGCAUUCAGGCUUUCUUCAUCAACAUUAAUUGGAUUAAAUUACCUGCAGUGAAAUCUGAACCUUUGAGGGAAAGGAAAGAAGAAAACAGCAAACUUAAGAAGUGAGACCAAAUAACUCUCAAAUAUGCAUUAUUUCUUGUAUUGUGGCAUCAGGGAUGUUGAGCGGGGUGAUUCUGAGGGAGGUGUACCUGAGGGUACAAAUUGAUUGUUGUGGGGUAGAAAGGAAAUACAGACCUAGGGAAAUCAGUGCUACGUUGUGAGGAGAACGGAAGAGCAAUGCUGUAGGACAGAUGGCAAGAGAGGUGAAACCCCACCAAACAAAAGCUGAAAUUCAGAGCAGGGUUGCAGCCAGAGCACAGAGACCUUGCCUUAAUAAUGAGGAACGCAAGUUUAGCAGAGUACAAAAGAUGUAGUAGAGCAUGAACAGAGUGACUUGAAGGCAGGCCAGGAGUAUAAACAGAACCAAACAUCCUCUGAGCAAGCAGCCUGAGGAUCAGAUGGUCUUGUAGCAGAGGAAUCUACGGCAGGGCGUAGAAGCAACUUAGGAGCAGGACGACAACACGUAACCCAAGUAACCUUUAAAAAAACAAAAAACAGCCACUGGGCUAUAUUAGUAGUUUUCUACCAGGUAUGAAGCUGACUUCAACAAUCAUUGCCUGAUAACCUUUCCAUCGUCUUGUGGUACCUUCAAAAUUAUCACAUUUAUUGUAGCAUAAACUUUCAUGUUUGAUUACAUAAAGUGUUAGCAUUAGUAUAGAACAAGGGAAAAAUUCAAUAGUGGGCCAAAUGGCAUAAUGCCUGUGACAGCUCUAUGAAAAGUGUAACUGUACAUAUGAUAAACACAAUGACACAUCACAACAGCAGUAAUUCGUGAUAACAAAAGUCUCCUAGUUUAGUUGAAUUUCUAUACUCAUGCAUGCAUAGACACACUCCUGCCCACUGUUCCCGGUUAAUAUCACAUUUUAAUUGUUUUUGGUUUUUAAAUAUUCUUGUUUUGUCUCAGAUAUCUUUGGCUUUUCUCCUUGCUUUAAACCUGUGUUUGUUUCUAGUUUUAAAUAUUCUUGCUUUGUUUUAAAUAUUCUUGUCUUAUUGCCUUGUUUUAAACGCAUGAUCUUCAGAAAUUGUUACUUUUUUGUUUAAAUUUCCUGUUGUACAUUUGCCUUAUUUUUAGCUCUGUUGUCUCUUGAUAUGGUUCAAAUAAGUUUCAAUCUGCUGUAUUUCUACCCUGUUUUUAGACCUGUGGUGGUUUGCUAUGCUUCUUUUAAGGUUUUACAUUGUUUUAUGUUUGCUCUGUUUUAAAAUUUGUAGUUGUUUGAUAUGGUCAUUUGACUAAUCAAUAAAAAAAUUCUUUUCUUUU